UUAAUUCUUCUUGCAAGAGAAAUGGAAUGAAGCACUUACAUAGACUAGAAUUUAUUUAGUUUCAUAGUGAACAUGGCGGUUGACCAUCAAACUCGGCAAACUUUUUAUUGGUUACUGAAGAUAUAAAAAAGAAAUAUGCCACCGAGUAUCAUCUGUAGCUUGUGAGUACUGCAUUCCUUGCCUCCUGAACGAGAAGGGGGUGGAGGAGAAGGGGGUGGAGGAGAAGGGGGUGUUUGUCGCGCGGCUCUCACGGCUGGACAGGACGUUGCUCGGCAAGGCAUUCCAUCGAGACAAUUCUCUCUCACGCUGACGAAACAGUUUGAAAGAAAAACAUAUAGCCUUUUAGGAAACGUUACGUUAAAGAUAAUGGAACCAACAGAUUUCUAGCAACAUCAGAUCAAAUAAAGAACUGAAACAUAUGAAGUGGGUCGAGAAACGUUUCGCUUACUCCAAAGUAAGGUUUUUGUUGUUUAAAAGAGAGGUAGGUAUGGAUCCAGUGAGUCUGUUCCUUGACAAAUUCCUGAGAAGAAAUUGAAAAACAAAAGACAGGUGUUAUCAAAUUCCUGAGAAGAAAUUGCUAGCUACUACGGUUGUUUAAAUCAUUAAAUCAUGAAACUCACAGUAGUUUUAGAUUAGGCAAGGAGCCAAGGAAAUCCGGAAUAGUUCCAUACAUGCAGUUGUUGUGAAAAUCACUACAAAUCGAAAGAGAGAAAUUCAUUAGAAUCUUGAAAAUUAAUUAUUAGAUCAAUGCAACUGUUUACGGAACAUUUGAAUAUAUAAUUACAUACAACUCACAUUUUCUGCAGCUCAUCCAUGGACCUAAUGGCGCCCGGAAAUUGGCCAGUCAAGCGUCGGCUGCUGAGAUUCCUGUUUGUUUUUUUCAUUUUCGACAUGAUCAGAAGUUCAAUUAUAUGUAUACAAGUAACUGCAUAUGUAUUGAUCAAAACUGUUUCAUUUCGACAUGUUAAAACUUGGAUCUUACCUGAUAAACUAUACAUUUCGAAAAAUUGAGUAGUAAUGAAACAAAGAGAGAUGGAGAAAAGUUUAUAUACACACUACUUACAAUGAUGUUACAAGACGACCGGUAGGAAGAUUACUACAGUUAUACCAGUCCCCGUUACGUUUACACCAGUUACCGUCAGAAGGAUCACCUUUCAAGCGUUUUAGUCCUUCUUGCACUAGUUCUUUUAGCAGUUCAGCUAGCUUUUUCGCUGAAUCAAUUAUGACGCACAAAAGUAUUAUAUACCAGAUGAAAUAAUGAAUGUCGAAGAUACAAAUACACGUGUUAAUUGAUUAAAUGAAAUGGGAUUAAGGAGUAGAAAAAUAAUUAACCAUAUUCAAGGUUUGGGAGUAGACGCCGAGUGGUAGUAUAUAAUUCAUAGGCAUCGACGAGAGGAGGCAAGGAUGAGGACUGAGCAUACUUAUCCAUCCUCUUAUCGAAAGGAGUGGUUGUUUCCUUCCACUCCACAGUAUACAUGAAUUCAACAUCAACUUCUUUAUCCUCUGAAAGGUCAGCCAGUGCAUUUGGAUCUGUUCGAACAUUGACUUCAAUCACGCGGUCCUUGUUAUAAUAGAGAUCAAAAUGAAUGUGCUUAUAAAGGUAGGUCUUGUACUCGCUCGGGGGGUCUUUGCCUUCCUUGUCAACCUUCCCUAUGAAACCCCAAAUGGGCAAGUCAUCAUAAUACAUCUGGAAGUAAUAGUCCUUGUUGACAGCAGAUCUGAACCGGCCUACUUCUUCCUUUGUGAGUGUUUUCUUGCAAGCUACUUCGGGAUCUUUAUGCCUUAGGAACUCAAGUUUGUAAGGAGCACUGACUAAACGAUCCCCAUUCAAUACUUCACCAAGAGCUUCCCCCUUCUCUGUCACCGCAUCUGCAAUUAGGAUCCAAAUAAUUAGGUAAAUUCAAUUCGUCGGAGAACAUGAACACGUAUUGUGAAGGAAGUAAAUAUGAAAGAAACGAAUCGAUUUGUUGAUACAAACCUGGUGAGCAGAAUGGGAGAUCAAAGUAUCCGUACGCUUCACUGGAAGCACCCCAAAAAAACAAAAAACAAAAAGAACAAAAAUUUAGACAAUCAGGAACACCAAAUUUCCACCACAAUCAAACUAACAUACAAUUUAUUAUCUGGGGUGGAGUGCUGGGGUUUUACCUGGGGUUGUGAAACGGGCCAACCUUGUUGGCAUACAGAGGGACAAAAUCUCCUUCCUUGUACCGAUGAUCCGACCCGUCGGACCUGACUAGAUCCGCACCGGACAGAAUUAGCAAGGCGAUGAUGCAAUGUACUCCCACCGCCAUGGUCUUCCCCAUUCUCUCUCUCUCUAAUCUCUGGAGAGACAAGACAACCACGUUCAGUAUAUCUUAUCUAUCUACAUACCUAUCUUAUAUAUAUAUAAAGCCAAUGGAAAAGUGCACAGUGCAAAACAGUCCACAUAUUUCUGGAGAGACAAGACAACCACGUUCAGUAUAUUUUAUAUAUAUAAAACCCAGUGGAAUGGCACUGUUCAUCAUGUGAGAGAGCACACCGUUUACCAACAGUGAAAGGACGGAACCGCCUUUGGUUUCUGCUUGGGUCCCGUACCGUUCACACUUUGCUACAAUCAAAAAUCCGUUUUGUCCUCUGUCUCUCGUCAGAAUGUACUGCCCUCUGUGCUACAUUCGAAGCCUAUGAAAAAACAACCAAAAGAAAAAAUGCGAAGACCCAUUCCUCGAACAGAGAUAAUAAAUGCGAAGAUCCAUUCCUCAAAAAGAUAGAGGACAAGAGGGAUGCCACAGUUGCGUGAUGGAAGCAACGAAGGGCCAUUCGAAAAAGAGAUAAUAAAUGUGAUGUUGGGGGGGGGUGGGGAAGCAAUGUUCAUCUUGUGUUCUUGGUUUUUUAAACUCACAUGCAGCAUUUGUGGGGCAGAAAAGAUGAAACAAUAAUUGAAAAACUGACGGGAUGGACAAAAAAAAUAUUUAAAAAAUAAGAGUUAAACCAGGCCACAUGUUUGUGGCACAGCAAACAAUAAAAAAUUAUAAAAAAAUUGAAUACAUGCAAAAACAAUUAUUAACAAUUGUGAGAAGCCGUGAUUUUUUUUUAAAAAAAUUUUAACGAAAAAUUUGCGAUACUGUUCAUUUUAACGAAAAACCACAUUUUUACACUAAAAGUCAAUCAUGAUACUAUUCACUUUAUCUUUUAUUUUAUCUUUAUUAUUAAAACUCAAAGUUUCCAAACUUUUUUCAUUAGUUUUUUUUUUUUUUACUGUUAUUCUAACUCAAACUCUAGGUUGGCCUGCUGUCUCUCAUUACUUUGCCUCUGGUUAUUUUAUUUUAUUGGUUUUGCUCUGUUUUUCAAAUUUGCAGUAUUAUUUUGAGGACGGAUAUAAUUUGGUCAAAUUCAUCAUGCUGGUGUAACAAGCAGGCCUAUUUGUUAAUCUCCAGAUUGGCCCUUAUGUUUGCGCUAAAUGGAACCUCAGGUAAUUAUUUUUGUUAAGAAUAUUUUUUUGUGUUUUUCUGUUUCUGAAACAAAGGAUUCCAGUUUGGCCGAAAUAUGUCUCCGGAAUCGCUUUUUAAAGGACAAUGAGCCUUUCAAGUUAGGAUAUUAUAAAUCUUCCGUUACUCCAAUGCAAUUUAAUUUUUUUAAUAAAUAAUUUUAAAGCUAACUUUAACUGGUCGGGUUUUCUUAGUAAUUUAUGUGAAACAAUGUUAGAAUUGCUUUUAGGUGAUGGAAAAAACUUUUUAGUCAUUUUAUAAGCAAAUCUCAAACAUGACGCCAAUCUUUUAACUUAAUAAUCUAUUUGUUACUAACUUUUUCCUUCUUCAUUCAAUCAUGUAGAAAGAAAGAUGCGAUCCAAGCUACCGUCCAAGAAAUAGAUUAUAAUUUAUUGACGAUAUGUGCUUAUCAACAGUUUUUAAACAUUUUAAAGAAAUCUUACAAAGCUAAUUGGCAAAUUGCAAGAUAUUUUGAAAUACAAUACUGUAGUACAACCUUUGAAAAAAAAAAGGUUGCCAAUGAAAGAUUUGAGACCAAUAGUUAAAUUUGUAUUGAAAAUAUGAGGUACAAAGUAUAAUAAAGCAUUUAUAAAAGGACGAUUACCCUUUUUUUUAAUACAUUUUUAAAGAUCUUAUAAAUCUUUUCCUACAUCCAUGCAUUUGUUUCUCAGUUCACAAUUCAGCAGAAUGAGAGUAUAUUUAUGUUUGCAAUAAGACGUGAAUUCUAACCUUUAUUCAUAUUUGCAGGCUAAGAGUUGUGGUAGAAGAGUUUAUUGUGGUUAGCUUAGAGUAAUAUGUGAGAUUAGCAAUUUGAAGAGUACUUUCUCCUCGUAUGUUUGCUUUGACAUUUGUAAAUCGUAAUUUUUAUUUAUCUCUUCAUGGCGUACUUAAAUUUUUAGAUCAGUAUAUGUAUUUGUUUUUGACAUUUCUUAUUAUAUGUAUUAGAAAACUGACCGAAGAAAGUUUCCAAUUUUAUUAUCUAGUCUAGCAAAAACAGAGUUAAGCUUCGAAGAACAAUACACAUGCAAUUUCAACGAAAACAAAACACAGGUUGACUAAAGAACUUGAUGGCAAAUGACUAAGAACCCAAAUCAAAUCUUUCAAAAACAGAUCAAGCUCUGAUAUUUACGCAUAGCCAAUGAAAAUUCAAUUUCCAAAUCACAAUGUCUAGCUUAUACGAGUUGAACCAGAACUUGUAAAGCAUGCAAAUUUUCUCAGUAACCAAACAAAUGGGUGGGAAUAAACUCAGAUACAUAACGAUUAACAGUGAAAUGAACAAACCCAGAAGCUGAACUGAGCUAAGAAAGCAUGGAACUUUGAGAUCGAGCAGGGUGGAGUGCUGGGGUUUUACCUGGGGUUGUGAAACGGGCCGACCUUGUUGGCAUACAGAGGGACAAAAUCUCCUUCCUUGUACCGAUGAUCCGACCCGUCGGACCUGACUAGAUCCGCACCGGACAGAAUUUGCAAGGCGAUGAUGCAAUGUACUCCCACCGCCAUGGUCUUCCCCAUUCUCUCUCUUUCUCUCCCUAAUCUCUGGAGAGACAAGACAACCACGUUCAGUAUAUCUUAUCUAUCUAUAUAUAUAUAUAUAUAUACACACACAUGUAUAUGUAUAUGUAUCUUCUAUAUCUUAUAUUAAAAAAUUUACAAUGAUUUUUAACUGCACAAUAUACGAUAAACGGAUCUAAUUGAAGGAUUUCCAAAAUUCUCAUAAGAUCCAGAGAGGUAGGAUCCGGAGAGGAUCCUCGUUCAUAGGAGUCAAUCCCAGACCCCAACGCUUUAAUGUAAAAUAUGGUGAUAUAUGAUAAAAAAAAUAAAAUAAACAGAAGAGUGUUGCAAAGUUGAAUUAGUCUACCAAAUCACAAUAUCCCGGCAUGGCGAUGGCACCAUACCGCUUUAAUUCUUCUUGCAAGAGAAAUGGAAUGAAGCACCUAUACAAACUACAAUUUAUUUAGUUUCAUAGUGAGCAUGGCGGUUGACUAUCAAACUAGGCAAACUUUUUAAUAGGUACCGAACAUAUAAAAAAGAAUUAUGCCACCGAGUAUCAUCUGUAGCUUGUCAGUACCGCAUUCCUUGCCUCCUGAAGGAGAAGGGGGUAGUAGCCCUGCAUUCUCGGUCACGCUGACGAAACAGUUUGAAAAAAAAACGCCUCGUUUGGCACACCGUAUAGAGCACCGGUUGUUUGGUGCCCUCCUGUAUUAAAUAGUCACCGGAUUAAUUUAGUCAGUCUGCCUAUUUAGUAGGGUAUACACCUGCAUAAUAAACCCUUCCAAAAGGAGUGGAUUAUUAGUCUGGUUCCCUUCCCUCUCUUUCGCACUUCGUUCUCCAAGACACCUCCUCUCACCGACGUUGUUCUCCCCGUCUUCGUUCUUGUCGGCACCGCAAACACCUAUGACCGCCACGUCCUCCUCUGCUACAAGAGCCCCGAGGCCUAGCCGUAGCGCGUCGAAGGCUCUGAGUCCUAGCCAUCACACAUCUUCCUUUGGGCUUCUUCUACAACUGGGGAGAGAUUCUUGACUGAAAUUGUAAGGGAAGAAGAAGAAGGAAGAGGGCGGGACGGAUUUUGGGGUUGCGGCGGAGAGAUCUGGGGAACAAAAGAGAUGAUUUCAUUUCUUCUGCAAUUGGGUCUUGCAAAGAAACAUGGAGUAUUUGCAGAGGUUCUUGACUGAAAUUGCAGGGGAAGAAGAAGAAGAAGGGAGAGAGGGAGGGAGUUUGGGGGGUGCGGCGGAGAGAUGGGGAACAAAAAUGAUGAUUUUUUUUUUUAAAUUUUAAUUUUAUUUUAUUUUAUUUAAAUAAAGGAAUAUUUUGUUUGAAUUCCUCAUAUCCGGUAUAAUACCAAACACACUAUAAAUAAUACGGUUAUUAAUCCGAUACUGCACCAAACGCCCGACUAAUUUAGUUAGUACUAUCUGGUGGCUAUUUAUCCUAUCUGAUAGAAAUAAACAGUACAGUUCGAGCUGCCAAACAAGGCCAUAGCCUUUUAGGAAACGUUACGUUAAAGAUAAUGGAACUAACAGAUUUCUAGAAACAUCAAAUCAAAUAAAGAACUGAAACAUAUGAAGUAGGUCGAGAAACGUUUCACUUACUCUAACGUAAGGUUUUCGUUAUUUGAAAGAGAGGUAGGUGUGGAUCCAGUGAGUCUGUUCCCUGACAAAUCCCUGAGAAGAAUUUGAAAAACAAAAGACAGGUGUUAUCGAAUCCGGCCCUAUAGUGCUAGCUACUACGGUUGUUUAAAUCAUUUAAAUCAUGAAACUCACAGUAGUUCUAGAUUAGGUAAGGAGCCAAGGAAAUCCGGAAUAGGUCCAUUCAAGCUGUUGUUGUGAAAAUCACUAUAAAUCGAAAGAGAGAAAUUCAUUAGAAUCUUAAAAAUUAAUUAUUAGAUCAAUGCAAUUGUUUACGGAACAUUUGAAUAUAUAAUUACAUACAACUCACAUUUCCAGCAGCGCAUCCAUGGAUCCAAAGUCUGGAAUUGGGCCAGACAAGCGUUGGCUGCUGAGAUUCCUGUAUGUUUUUUCAUUUUCGACAUGAUCAGAAGUUCAAUUAUAUGUAUAUAAGUAACUGCAUAUGUAUUGAUCAAAACUGUUUCAUUUCGACAUGAUAAAACUUGGAUUUUACCUGAUAAACUAUACAUUUAGAAAAAUUGGGUAGUAAACAAAGAAAGAUGGAGAAAAGUUUAUAUAUACACUACUUACGAUGAUGUUACACGACGACCGGUAGUAAAAUUAGUACAUUCAUACCAGUUCACUACUAACGAGGCUGAAAGACCAAGGAUCACCAUUAAGUUUAUCUUGCGUAUCAUAUCCUCUUUCCAGUCCUUCAAAUACACUUCCCAGUUUUUCUAGCCCUUCCACUGAAUCAAUUAUGAGGCACAAAAAUAUUAUAUAUCAGAUGAAAUAAUGAAUGUCGAAGAUACAAAUACACAUGUUAAUUGAUUAAAUGAAAUGGGAUUAAGGAGUAGAAAAAUAAUUAACCAUCUUUAGGGUUGGUGAUUAGAGGUCUAGUGAUAGUAUAUAAUUCAUAGGCAUUGACGAGAGGAGGCAAGGAUGAGGACUGAGAAUACUUAUCCAUCCUCUUAUCGAAAGGAGUGGUUGUUUCCUUCCACUCCACAGUAUACAUGAAUUCAACAUCAACUUCUUUAUCCUCAGUAAGGUCAACCAGUGCAUUUGGAUCUGUUCGAAUAUUGACUUCAAUCACGCGUUCUUUGUUAUAAUAGAGAUCAAAAUGAAUGUGCUCAUAAAGGUAGGUCUUGUACUCGCUCGGGUCUUUGCCUUCCUUGUCAACCUUCCCUAUGAAACCCCAAGUGGGCAAGUCAUCAUAAUACAUCUGGAAGUAAUAGUCCUUGUUGACAGCAGAUCUGAACCGGGCUACUUCUUCCUUUGUGAGUGUUUUCUUGCAAGCUACUUCGGUAUCUUUAUGCCUUAGGAACUCAAGUUUGUAAGGGGCACUGACUAAACGAUCCCCAUUCAAUGCUUCACCAAGAGCUUCCCUUUUCUCUUUCACCGCAUCUGCAAUUAGGAUCCAAAUAAUUAGGUAAAUUCAAUUCGUCGGAGAACAUGAACACGUAUUGUGAAGGAAGUAAAUAUGAAAGAAACGAAUCGAUUUGAUACAAACCUGGUGAGCAGAAUGGGAGAUCAAAGUAUCGGUACGUUUCACUGGAAGCACCCAAAAAAUACAAAAAGAACAAAAAUUUAGACCAACAGGAACACCAAAUUUCCACCAGAAUCAAACUAACGUACAAUUUAUUAUCUAGUUUAGCAAAAACAGAGUUAAGCUUCGAAGAACAAUACACAUGCUAUUUCGACGAAAAGAACUUGAUGGCAAAUGACUUAAGAACCCAAAUCAAAUCUUUUAAAAAACAGAUCAAGCUCUGAUAUUUACACAUAGCCAAUGAAAAUUCAAUUUCCAAAUCACAGUGUCUAGCUUAUACCAGUUGAACCAGAACUUGUAAAUCAUGCAAAUUUUCUCAGUAACCAAACAAAUGGGUGGGAAUAAACUCAGAUCCAUAACAAUUAACAGUGAAAUGAACAACAAACCCAGAAGCUGAAUUGAGCUAAGAAAGCAUGGACCUUUGAGAUCGAGCAGGGUGGAGUGUUGGGGUUUUACCUGGGGUUGUGAAACGGGCCGACCUUGUUGGCAUACAGAGGGACAAAAUCUCCUUCCUUGUACCGAUGAUCGGACCCGUCGGACCUGACUAGAUCCGCACCGGACAGAAUUAGCAAGGCGAUGAUGCAGUGUACUCCCACCGCCAUGGUCUUCCCCAUUCUCUCUCUCUCUAAUCUCUGGAAAGACAAGACAACCUUGUUCAGUAUAUAUAUUUGAUUUGAUUUCCUGGGUCUGGUUUGGGUCUUUGGCUUAUGUAUUUAUUUUUGGUUUAAUGAAAUAUUAAUGUUGUCAUUUAAUCAACGGAACUUUAACGAAAAGCACCCGUACUGUUCAUUUUAACGAAAAAUCACAUUUUUACACUAAAAAAUCAAUCUUGUUACUAUUCACUUUACCUUUUAUUUUGUCCUUAUCAUUAAAACUCAAAGUUUUCAAGCCAUUUUCAUUAGUUUUCCUUUUAAUUAAUCAAAUGUGUUAAGAUUUAUAGACUUGGAAUUUUUUUUCUAUAUUGUAUGCUUAUUUACUAACAAAAUUAGAAGGCAGAGAAUUAAUAAUCACAUAUUAUUUUGUACACUUAAUCUGUGUACAAUAUUUGUUCUAUUUAUUCAACUUGACAAUCAUAAAUAGAAAAGAACAUGCAAAAAGAAAAAGUUACCAAAAAAAACACGUUUUUAAUAUUAUAAUUUGUAACCAAAUGCUUGAAAAUUAUGAAACAUAUCAAUUGCAGGCUUGUGGUGACAAGGUUGUCUUUGACAUGAAAUUAAGAAAAUGUAACAUUUUCUUUUGUAUCUUCUCUGAUUUAUAACGUCUCUCAUUUAAAGCACGUAAUUGUAAUAAACAUGUUUGUUUUGAUUUUUUUUCUUGCACGCACAAAAUAAAGAAAAUUUUCACUUACACAAUGUAAUUAGUAAUUUAAUACUUAAAAAAUUAUGUAAUUAGUGGCGUGGCGGUCAGAACCUUCAACUUCAACUUAGUGUAUUAAUAUCGAUAGGAAAAAAUUAUAAACUGAAUUGAAUUGAAAUUAUUGAAUCACAAUACCGGUAAAUAAACAUUUCAUUAAUAUUCAAACAAAAUAAUUAUUAGUUAAUGUGGAAAUAAUUUGUUUUGUUUUAAUGUGAAACAAAAAAUAGGUGAACAAAGGUGACGGAGACGGGGGUGCCUCACCACGUCGUGAGAUGUUUGAUGCCUUAUCGACGCUUUGGUACCUACCUUAUGCCGUAGGGUGCGUCUCACGCUUCUCUUUUUCCAUUUCUUCUUUCUUUCUCUGUCUACGUGGUGGCACGUGAUUGGGGGGCUUUGUAGGAGUGAGGAAUCUGGUGGUUUGGUGGGCAACGCCUUGGGAUACACACACAUAUGUGAAAUGAACAGUGUUGAUACUCAUCGUUUUGUAAACCAAAAAGGACAUUAUUAUUUGGACAAGGAUGGUCUGCCCUUCUUGUUCCUGUAUCUUUCUGUAUCCUCCUGUUUUGUACGAUCACGGUUAAGCCAUGUCAACAUUUUAUAUUGUUUUUUUUAUAAAAAUAAUAAGGAAAAAAAAUAAAUAGUAAUAUAAAAUAUUAACGUGAUUUAACCGUGACCACACAAACAAAGGACAUGGAAAGACACGAGAACAGGGCAGACAAUCCUUGUACUUAUUAUUUUUCGAAUUCAUUGCUCUUCUUCCUCUUCCUCCAGAUCUGCGCUUUAAUUAAUGUCUUGUACUACAAGGCGAAGAAAUAGGAUUGUGUGGUGGUGCUGCUUCUGCUAUCUCAUCUGCGCUUUAAUGUCUUGUACAAAAAGGUGUACGUACGGUCUCCAUCUUAAAUGCGUUUCAGAAAUGAAACCUUACUCCUACUUUUUCUGUUUCCACAAAGUUUAUACUGUUCAUGAACAGCGAACCAAUGUCUGUAUUUUGCUUUUCUUUUAUUAAUUUAAUUUACUCACUUUUAUGAAGGUGCUGUAGGAGGCUUGAGAGUCUCGAGACAUGUCGAUGAGACCGACAGCGGAGAAGAAACAAAUAACAACAUCAUCAGCUUCAUCAAAUCCUCCUCCUCCUCCUUCAGUUAAGUCGUCGGCUCCUCCAAGUCCAAGAAGUAGUUCAAGCAGCAGCAACAAGUCCAUCAUGAAUCGGAAACCCCCAUGGCUCUUGCCCAUCCUUGACGGUAGGAACAUUUUCAUUUGAAUCAUUUUUCUUCUCCCUUCAACUUUUACUCAUAGACCUGGAGAACAACUUGCAUAAAAAGGGACCAUCAUUUGGCGUUUAGUUGAAUAAUACAAUGUUGCAUGAAAAUAAUUUACAAAUGAAAAUGUUGUAUUAUUGAAUUAAAAUGCAUACAAAUUCAUAUCAUUUAAGCCAUUCUCUAUAAUUCUCUUUUAGAGAAAACUAAUGAAAAUGACUUGAAAACUUUAUGUUUUAACGAAAAUUACAAAUAAAUGAUGAAAUGAAUAGUACCAGAAUUGACUUUUUAAUGUAAAAAAAUAAUUUUUUGUUGUCAAAAUAAACAGUAUCGUAAGUUUUUCAUUAAAAUUAUAUUCUUUUUAUCUUUGUUUUGGUGCACGCAUGAUUGAAUUGAACGACGUACUUGUGAUCUUGACCAAUCUACUUUAGUUUGAUUAUGGAUGAAAAGUUAAUGGAAAAGCUUAGGAGGGUUUUCGUGCAAGCACAUGUGAUGAUGGGAUGUGACAACUAACUAGGUAAACAUACGUAGCUUGGAGUUUACCAUCUUUGUCUGUUUGUCUGUCCAUCUUCCUUUGUGUUUGAAUUUCAAAACUCCAUCUGAUGAGUGGUGAGUAGUCUAGUCAGUAAGUAGUCUAGUCGGAAGAUAAAAAGGCCAUUGGCGUGUAAAAGUAUAUAAUUGAUUUUGUUUGAUAUUUAUUCGAGGCAGGAAGGAAGGCACCGACCUCUCUCUUUCAGAGUAACUCCAGCGUGGGCUGGUGCUCUAGGGAAAGGCGAUCAAAUAGGGCCAGAUUGCCCGAUUGAACUGCUCCACCGUGUGGCAGUCCGAGGGACAGGCUGGGUCGGAGCUGCGGGCCUAUGAGGAGUUGCCAGCCCGAAAGCAUGGGUGGAUAUGACGCAAGGGCUGAUGUCAUCCUAGUGUCAGCCUUAUUUUAUAUAUUUUUCUAUCAGGCGCAUGAGCCUCACCCGCACGUAGGGGCGCGUCAGCCGACAGAUUUUCAGAGGAUGGGCCCGCGUCACAGUCUGCCGAGGUUACCGUUGGGAAGCCAUGUGGCUUCCCACAGUCCGCUCGAUCUCAAUGGCUCUUUAAAUUGGACCGUCCGAUUUGCAAUGGUAAUAAAAAUAAAAAUAAAUCUUAUUUAAUAUCAACAGUUGGAUCUGAGAUCAACGGUUGAUAUUAUUCUGCUUUAUAAAUUUAAAAAUAAAAAAUAGAUUUAAAAUUAUGAAAAGUUACCAUUGUGCCACGUGGUACAAUCUGGAGUGUUGGAAUUCAAAUUUUUUAAAAUCCAACGGUAGAGAUUAAUUAGUUGAAUAAAAAUUUAAAAAAAAUUGUAAAAAAUCUGAAAAAUUUAAAAAAAAAAUUGUUUUUACUUUUCUAUAAAUACCUUCUCAUUAUCAUCUACCUUACACCACAAUUUCAUAUUUUAUCUACCCCAUUUGGCACAUUUGGGAGGGCUUCCACGAUGUAUUUUUCACUCUCUUCUUUCUUGGGAAUCAAAAACCUACGAGGAAAAAGGACGUUCGGAGGAAUAACAUUAGAAUGAAAUGAAAUUGGGACGUCUUUACUUGUGGUGGGUGGUUUAGAGGGCUUAAGGGGCUGCGACAAGGGUUGUUCUACCCUUUCCGUGUGUAUGUCUUCUUCCUCCUCCUCAAUCAGCAGCUCCUCAUCCACUUCUAGGCUAUGUUGGAUGUUUUUAGGUUAGCUCCAACCUCCAUAGCACUUCUCAAAGUGAUAGCAUCAUGGAUUUCAAAAUCUUCCUUCGAAUUUUCAAUAGUUAAGUUGGGGAGUUCACUUUGCUUUUGAAUUUGUGCCAUGAACUCCAUAAUCUGCCCAGUUUGCUUCUCUAAUUCACUCGUCUUCUUGGCUUGAUUUUGUAUCUUUUUGUUUUGAUUUUCUACUUUCUGAUUCAAAGAGGUGAGUAACUUAUUAAACAUAUCAUCAUCCAAAGACGUACCUGAAUUGAAUUGGGCAGAUUGUUGUGGUGACUGUGACGGUUCAUAUGGCCAGUGAUAGAACUUCUCUGAUGGCGGCAGAUAUUCUUCUUGUUGUGAGCCAUGCACCAAAGAGUUUAAUUCAUUAAGAAUUUGAUUGUAAUCUAUUGACGAGUCUGAGUUUGAUUGGGCAUAUUGUAUAUGAGGUUGUGGUGGCUGCGAUGGUUCAUAUGGCCAGUGAUAGAACUCCUUUUCUUGCUGCCAAUAUCCAUCUUGUUGGAAUUGUUGCGGUUCUCCACACAUGUAAUCUGAAUAAUCUCUCUAAUCCGAAUUGUAAGCGUUGGAAAAUAUGUUGUCCCCUGAUUAGCUAUAACCUCGGUAACCCCAAGCAUCUUCAUUCGUAGCGAAUUGAGAACAUUGAUGAGUUGGAUAUCCUUGCCCAUAGGACACACCAUAUGUAGGGACACUUUGCAUUGUGGUCCUUUCGGCAUAUUGUGACAAUUGAGAAGUAAGUUUCGCCAAUUGAGCUUGAAUAGUAGCAAAAUUCAUGUCUUACUUCUCUAGUACUUGAAAUCAAGGAAACAAAACUAAAUCAAAUAUCAUAAGUAAAAAUAAGAGACACAUAUAGAAACAAAGUCAGUAACUAAAACAAAAAAACAUGAAAAUAAACAAAAAGAAAUAACAAGGGGUUAGCAAAAUUGCUAAUCCCCGGCAACGGCGCCAAAAUUUGAUGCGAUGAAAGUUAAGCACUCAAAUUAAACCCUCUUUUGACAAUUGUAGUAUAUGUAUAAGUAAGGAUCGUUCUGGACUAGGGAUUAGGAGGGAUUGCUAAUCUAAACUAAUCUGACUUACAAAAAGAAACUUAAAAACACUUAACUAGAUUCUAUAGACUCAAAACACUUAAAAACACAAACUAAAACAAAUUCUAACUAAUUAGACACACUAAAGUAAAGGGGAUUGGGUUUUGGACGAAAAUAAAGUAAAACAAAACAGAAACUAGAACUAAACAGAUUUGCACGAAAUUGGUUGUUUUGGAUGGAUUAGUUAGAGGUCCGUUCUUCACACAUGACACGCUUGUACAUGAAUCGAUUUCCAAUUGCUUUUCAAUAAACUAUUAUGCUCAACACCCCAGAUUAACCGUGAUGCACAAAUUAACCCUCAGAUUUUCCUUUACUCAUUGAAUUGGAUGAAUGCAUGCGACAGCCCAAAUCAUUCUCUAAAAGUCCCCUAUAUGAAUGCAUAAUAGAGAUACAAUCAGAGAUCAUUACGUUCAAUGAAAAUCAUAAGUGUUGACGAGACAAUUAUAACUAUGAAUGCAUGAUACAAUUGCCAAGAAUUCAAUUAACGCGAUUGUGAUAAACAACCUUCACUACUCAUGAAUAUAAACUUGUAACGAUUAGGUGAAACUCAUUUAUAUUCUAGCAUCUAAUUCAUGCAUGAAAAUUAAGUAUGCAUCCUUAAUAAACAUACAAGAAUCAGUUGUGAAUAAAAUAGAUAAUUGAAUUGCAAUCACAACUUAUCAAAUAACAAUUGGAAGAAAUCAAUUCAUAUCUCAAGCAUGUUCAUGGCUUCAAACUUUCCCCUAACUAAAUAGGGGUUUAGCCACUCAUAAUAGCAACAAAAUCAGAAAAUGAAUUUAACAUUGGAAACAAAAGAAAGAAAACACCUAAACGCUCCAACGAUCCAAGUUGACAGCACGCACGUCCAAACACUUUCUUUUCCUUCCUUUGCUACGGCACAAGGUGUUGGUGAGUGUUUGAAUGUUUGUUUGUAUGGAGGAAUGGAUGUAAAUAUGAAUGGAUGUGUUUGGAUGAAGGUUGUAUUGAAAUAUGAGUGAAUGAUCUAAAAAAAUAUCAACUCCAUUUAUGUUACACACACUUCCUUUUAUAGAGGAAGUGCAAGGCAAAACAUGGGUAAAAUUGAGUGGUGUUGAAAUGAUUCAAAGGUGAAAGUGGAGUAAUGAUGCAAAGCAUGGGUAAAAUAGAGUGGUGAUGAAAUGAUUCAAAGUAAUGAUGCAUGAAAUCUGAAAUGAUGGAGGGAACAAGGAAUGGUGUAGCAAUUAAGUGCAAGGAGGGAACAUGGAUGAUGAUAAGGUAAUCUUGACUCAUGUUUCUUCUUUGGUUGCUGAGCUCUUUGUCAUUUUACAUUAAUUCUUCUUUAUUUUUAACACAUUCCAAGCCUCUUUAGUCUUCAAUUUCGUCCAUCCACCUUGCUCCAUGCAUGUGCUAUCCAUUCCAAGUCCAAAACUGCUCCAAAAUGCACCAAAAUGUACCUUAUUGCUUUAUAAGGCCUAUAGAUCUACAAACACACGAAAAUAGCUUAAAAUACAUAAUUAACUAAGAAAUAACAACAUAAAUGCAUGAGAACAAGCUAACUCAAUCGCAUAAAUAUGCUCAUAUCACUCAUAUGUAAAUAUCAGAAAUUCCAGCCAUACACAUUGGCGAUACCAACAUCAGAAAAUUUUCGCCAUAUUUAUCAUUAGCAAAACAAAUAUUAUAUUUUCCAGCCGUAACCUUCAUUGGCAAAAUAAAUAUCAGAAUUUCAAAUCAAACCAUCAAAACUGGCAAAUCAAAUAUCAGAAAUUUCGGCCAAAAUCAUUGGAAUUUCAAAUCACAACUACUCACCACUAUAUAUUAAACAAAUCAUAGCCUCGGGUUGUGAUUUCAUUCCCAUUCAUAACAUCAUCAUUUCUUCAUAAAUAAUAGUUUCCAACCAUAAUUAUCAUGGCCAUACAAUUUUAAAAUUUUUAGCCAUAAUCAUUAUUGGCAAAACAAUGAUUUCAUCACCUUUUUCUUUUAUCUCCAUAAGUAACUAGUAGACUGGAAAAAAUUGUAAUAUACCUGGCCAAUACACAUCACACAUUUAUCACUUCAAUAAUUCAUUCUUGCAGCUCACACAUGGAGCUUCUCCCUGGAAACAUUGGGUCUUUGUGCCCACUCAUCCAUUGCUCACAUUCCACGGCCUUUUCGCCCCGAAUCAAUAUUUCUCAAUGGCACAGGUACAAUACGACUUUUCCAUCUACUUGUCACAAUUUCACAAUCAUCUUAAUGUUCGAAAUUUUCAUAACGUAUAACACAAUAUCAACCAAAUUCAAGAUUAAUUCGAGACUUUACUCAAACAUUCAUCUUGGAAGCUAUACCAUGAAAUAUGAUAUUUUAAAAUUUUUCUUCUCCCAUUCAAUCAUACGAACACAACCAUUUCACAAUCAUCCAUAUCCAUGAUUUAUAUGAAAGGCAGUCUAACUACUAUUUGAAGUAAUAAUGAUGCAUCUAAAUUUCAUAUCACAUUUUCUAAGAUUAAAUAGAAAUUAACUGAACCGCUUAUUCUACGUACUAUCAACAUUCAUCGACAGAAACUCUGCUUCGGAAUAAGUUAGCACAAUAGAUGAGCUCAACAUAUCGAUACCAACCAAGAGCAAUGUCACAUAAGCAACACAAGGCUUCAAACCAACAAGAUCAAACGGUUAAGUCGCAUCCCGUUAAAGUUACACAUUACGUUACCCCAAACACCGUUGCAAGCCCAUCAAUGAAUUUCACGUUUAGUCGAACCCUGUAACUCUUAUUAAAUUCCUUCAUCCUACCAGUACAAGAAUAUAUCUACUUUAAAUUUUGUUAUUCAAUCAAAUAUCAUGCCAUCAAUCACAAGAACUCAAACCACUUAAUAUAAAAUUAUAAGACUAAGAUGGCAUAGUUCAACCGAAGUCUACACUUUUUAAGUUUCCAAACCCCUCAUGGCUAUCUAACAAAAGAAAUACAAAAUUGCAUAAACACUUCAUGGAAUUCGACAUGCGUGAAUCAUUAGAUUUCAGGGCUACAUAACAAACCACACGAUAUUCAAGAUUUCCAUUUCAUCAAUCAUAUAAAUCACUAUGGUUCAACAUGAUACCUUAAUCCAUAGCAUGUAACGUAUCAAAGAACCAAUGAAGCAUAGUAUUAUUCUCAAGCCACGUUGACCUACUAAUCUAUUCAUAAUAAUAACAUUCACAUCCCACAUCAUUCCACAAUCACUUCAAUUAAUCAUUUCCAUGAAUCAAAGACGAACGAUAUUAACGUCUAACUACGUUAAUCAAUCAAUGAAAUAACAUAUCAUUUCAUGAAUCAACGAUACACAAUUUUAACUUUUAACUAUGUUAGGCAAUCAAUAACAUGGUAAAUCCAAUUUAUAUUCACAAGGUCUAUUGUGGGUAAUUCUCAUUCACUCGAAUCUAGGGUUCUAGAUUAACUUUAUGGAAAUGAGCAAGAGCAAGGAUUCUGGACCACUCAAUGAAACUAAAAUACCAAGCUGCUUCUAGUAAUCUACCCAGACCUGUCAUAUGUACAAUCAUGCCUACAUCAAGGAGAUGGCACACUGGGCAAAUCAGACACUCGGGUAAGCUACGAAGCUCGAGUGAGUGACAAUAAUACAAGUAUGUGAUAUUCAAUUAAAACAGACCAUCAAUCACAAUCUAUAAACAUCAAAUAUAGAAUCAGGCUUUAUGGAAUCAUAAUCAAGUCGCUGAAAACUCCGUAGGAGUCACCCAGACAUCCAACGGUUUUUCUAAUUCAAACCACAAGAUUCUUAAAAACCAUUGUUCAUAUGUACAUUAAAAACUAGGGCUAGAGGAACGCAGUUCGGCCGAAGCCUACAUAUGUAACCAAACAGGAAGUGGCCCCCUAUCGCGGAUUAACCAAGCAGAACCACCCAUGCAGUAACCAAGUAGGCAGUGACCCCCUAUCGCGGAUUAACCAAGUGAGCCACUCCUACGCAUCUGUUAGGCAAUGAUCACUCUUAAGUGUGUGUGUGUAUGGCCAUACCAAAGAUAUAAGGAUCGCCUAUCACGGAUUAACCAAGCACGAUCCAUAGAAAAUAUGGUCCCCUAUCGCGGAUUAACCAAGCAGGACCAAGAUAACUAAGUAGGUAGUGACCCCCUAUCGCGGAUUAACCAAGCAGAGUCACACCUACGAAACUGUUAGGCCGUGAUCACCUAUCACGGAUUAACCAAGCAUGAUCACUCCUAAAGUAUGUAUGACCAUAAGAAUCGCCUAUCGUAAUGCAUCUUGCUAUUUAUUGUUUAAGCCUCACAUACUUGUGACUUUAAUAUCUGUAAUUUAAAAAAUAUAGACUAAAUAUACAUUUUAACAUCUCUAUAUUUUCACUUAUUUUUUUUUUACAUUUCGACUUAAAUAUUCUACUAAAUAUACACUUGUUGCUCGAUAAAUCGUAAAUCUACUUCCAAAUACAUUAUAAAGAUUUCCUUACUGCUCACGGAAAAUAUUUCAAGAAAAUAAAAAAUUUACAUUUUUUAAAGAAAAACGUGGAUGCUCACGGUUUUUAGUCGGUUUUGCAAAUUCGUACAUAAAUCACCGUUCAAUCUAUUUAUUUUCACAUUCUCCUUCUUGUUGGUGUAAACCUGUUUGGCAUUAUUUUGGACAUCACUACUAUUUUCUUCACUUAUUUUUAAUUUUUAGUUUAAAUAUUCUAUUAAAAAUACAGUUGUGGCAUAAAUCGUAAAAUCAAUUCCAAAUGCCUUACAAAAUUUCACUUAAUGCUCAAGAAAAUUAUACUGCAAAAAAUAAAGGAUUUGUAUUUUCACAACAUAUGUGAGUUUACACACACUCACGAUUUUUAGUCAGUUUGUAAACUCUUGCUAUAAUCAUCAUUAAAUAUAGUUGUUUUCGCCUUACUGAAACAUUUUUAAAUUAACUUAAAUCUUUCUCUUUAUAUUCUUGAGGGAGAAAACCCAUGGUUAGUAAUGGAGACACAUGGCACAGUUUUGGAGGAGGAUAAAGGUCGCAUUUGAUUAGGAGAAGUGAGCAAAACGGCUUCUUAUUACGGUAAUGUUAGAGAGACAAAAUUUCUAAAUUAAAUGACAUAAGAAUUGAUGAUUGGAUUAUUACUUAAGCGUUGAUAAACAUGCUCCUUUCUUAUUGGUGACAUAUCAUUUAGUUUGUAAAUUUUAUCUACAAAAUUUAGUCUCUCUAACAUUACCUAAAAAAAAUAUUGCGACUAAUACUAUUGGGUCAUUGUGUUUAGUAGCAAUAUUUUCAUUUUGGAUAAUGUUAGGGAAACUAAAUUUGUAGACUAAAUUUACAGACUAAAUGAUUUGUCACCAAUAAAAUGAGUACGUUUAUCAACGUUUAAGUAAUAAUCCAAUCAUCAACUUCCAUGUCAUUUAGUUUACAAAAUUUAGUCUACAAAUUUAGUCUUUGACUCUCCGUAGCAUUAGCUUUUUUUUUUUUUUUUAAGAAUGAGGAUCCUCUUUGUGAGGAUUCGGGGUUCCUUCAAUCGUGUCCGUUGAUCGUAUAUCGUACAGUCAGUUUUCGUCAAGUAAUAUUCAUAUUUAAUUUUAAAUAAAAAAAUUUAUAAUAAUUUCUAACCGCACGAUAUAUGAUGAACAAAUGUGAUUAGAAAAUUCUCAAGAUCCUCAUAUGAUCCAAAAAGGUAGGAUCCGGAGAGGAUCCUCCAAUUUUAGUCGACCCAGAAAAAAGUAGUAAAGGGCGUUUCCGCAGCAUCUAGUGGAUCAGCUUCAAAGGCGGAUUGAAUCGGUAAGAGUCAAUCCCAGACCUCAACGCCUUAAUGUAAAAUAUGGUGGUAUAUGAUAAAAAAUAAAAGAAACAGAACAGUGUUGCAAAGUUGAAAUAGUCUACCAAAUCAAAAUAUCCCGGCAUAGCACUAUACCGCUUUUAUUCUUGCAAGAGAAAUGGAAUGAAGCACUUAUAUAGAUUACUAUUUAUUUAGUUUCAUAGUGAACAUGGCGGUUGACUAUCAAACUUGGCAAACAUUUUAAAAGUUACUGAACAUAUAAGAAAGAAUUAUGCCACCGAGUAUCAUCUGUAGCUUGUCAGUACUGCAUUCCUUGCCUCCUGAAGGAGAAGGGGGUG
rnacentral:lncRNA from 1 species